AUUGAACGCUGGCGGCAGGCUUAACACAUGCAAGUCGAGCGGUAACAGAGAGAAGCUUGCUUCUCUGCUGACGAGCGGCGGACGGGUGAGUAAUGCCUAGGAAUCUGCCUAGUAGUGGGGGAUAACUUGCCGAAAGGUAAGCUAAUACCGCAUACGUCCUACGGGAGAAAGGAGGGGACCUUCGGGCCUUUCGCUAUUAGAUGAGCCUAGGUCGGAUUAGUUAGUUGGUGAGGUAAUGGCUCACCAAGACCGCGAUCCGUAACUGGUCUGAGAGGAGGAGCAGUCAACCUGGAACUGGGACACGGUCCAGACUCCUACGGGAGGCAGCAGUGGGGAAUAUUGGACAAUGGGGGGAACCCUGAUCCAGCCAUGCCGCGUGUGUGAAGAAGGUCUUAGGAUUGUAAAGCACUUUAAGUUGGGAGGAAGAGCAGUUAACUAAUAUUUGACUGUUUUGACGUUACCGACAGAAUAAGCACCGGCUAACUUCGUGCCAGCCGCCGCAGUAA
rnacentral:rRNA from 1 species